rnacentral:rRNA from 1 species
UACGAAGGGGGCUAGCGUUGCUCGGAAUCACUGGGCGUAAAGCGCACGUAGGCGGCUUCUUAAGUCAGGGGUGAAAUCCUGGAGCUCAACUCCAGAACUGCCUUUGAUACUGAGGAGCUUGAGUCCGGGAGAGGUGAGUGGAACUGCGAGUGUAGAGGUGAAAUUCGUAGAUAUUCGCAAGAACACCAGUGGCGAAGGCGGCUCACUGGCCCGGUACUGACGCUGAGGUGCGAAAGCGUGGGGAGCAGACAGG